ACCAAAAAACUGCUGUGGAAACUUUACGCCUUCCAUGGAGACGUUCGUGUGGUCUCAAACCCCGACGUCAAACCGUUGGUCAUAAAACCCGUGUUGCUCUUCGCACCCCACGCCUCGACGCGUAUAGUGGUCGGAGCUUCACUUCUCCCUCGACCUCCACAGCACACUAGCUUCCGAGCUCUAUGCGAUCCUAGCCGCUCUGCUGCCACUCACGACAAUGGACAAUUUGCUUAUAGGCUUUAUUUGCUAUGUUUUCGUAUUCGUACGUUAGACCGUACAACAAGUCCUGUCGACAUCCAAGGAACUGACCCACUAAAAAGCCGCCGGUUGGAACUUUACGCCUUCCAUGGGGACGUUUGCGCGGUCUACGAACCUCAACGUCGGACCGUUGGUUGUAAAGCCCGGCAUAAACCAAACCCAAGUGCUGCUCCUGGCACCCCACGCCUUGAUGCGUAUAGCGGUCGGAGCUUCACUAUCCCCUCGACCUCCAUUGCACGCCGCACAGUUAGCUCUCGGGCUCUGUGUGAUCCAAGCCGCUCCGCCGCCACUCACGGUUGUCGGAGUAACACUUCCGCCCCACUAAACCUGCACCCACCUCCUAUUCUUCUAGCCGAUAUGUUGUCUAUCGACACGGCUAGAAAUGAUACUAAACCUAGUCGUCAUGAUGUCCAACUCUAG
rnacentral:lncRNA from 1 species